AUCAAUAGAAUAUUACUUUUGAUUAURGGGCACACAUUUUCUCUGCUCACAGAGUAUUAUACUAUAUUAUGUUGAUGAAACUGAGGACAACAAAAAUAUAUGAAUACAAACAAUUAACAAAGAAUCUUAGUGGAACCAAAGAUCAUUGUAGUACAAUGCAUCAAUCGCAACAAUAGUAGUAUAGCGGCGAUUAUUGUCAUCAACAGGAGUAACAUCUAAAUGAACACCUUUCCAUUCAAAAGAAUUUGCAUAUCCACUGUAAUCACUGAAUCUCUCCACACCUAGAACAACUGAGACACUAAUAAUUCAGGACAAAUUAGAAAACGAAUUUCUUCUUGAACACUACCAUGACCAAGAACGCCUCCUCC